rnacentral:lncRNA from 1 species
CACUAUAACAGGGAGCUUUAACAAGCGUUUUCUCUGUGCUGGGCAUCGGGCUUGUUUAUGCCUCACUGUGUCAUACAGAACAGGCCUACUGGCGGAAGCCAGCCAAAGUCCCUCAAGGGGCAGGAGGGAGAAAGGUCCCGACUGGGCUCCGAAGUCCUGAUGAGGGGCAGGCCUCUGUCCUUGACUGUGAGUACUGGGGGAAAAGGACAACGGGACCUUUGCUUGUUAGGUAAAGUCCAUCUCGCAGGGGUUGCUAUGCCCCUGAGUAUGUGAGAUAAAGUCCACAGGAUUUGUCACUAUCCUGUUACCUCUGAACAUGUUCCCUGGCAGAAUUCUAGGCCUGUCUAGCUCUACUUCUCUGAACAACUUUGAAUCUCUCUAUUCAUUCCUUCCCUCCAAGGAUGCAUCAAACUGAAUUAUCGGUGUCAGGAGAGAAAAAAAAAAAAAAACCUCUCAUGGAGCUUACAUUCUUUUGAAAUCAUACAGCCCCCAAAGGUAUGUGAUUUGUCAGGUGUUGGUAACUGCUGUGAUUAAAAUUAAAUCAGAAUUGUCAAAUAGAGAGGAGGGGGCCUAUCUAGAAAGAGCAGUCAGGGAAGGUCUUUCUAAGAUUGUGACAUUUGAGCGGAAACCUAGAGGAGAGGAACAUCUGAAAGAGAUGCAUGCCCCCCCCCUCCCCCGAGUUCGGUACGGGUCAGUGGAAAAGUUCCGGGGUGUAACUCAGUCUGUCAUGUGUGAGAAGGUGAGGAGGCUGAUUUGGCUGGCUCAGCAUGAUGGAGGGAGGGGUAGGAGAUCUGGUGAAGGGGUAAUGAGGGCCAGGUCCUGUAGAGCCUUCUGGGCCAUGGUGAGGACUUUGUCUUGAGCCUCCAGAGGCCUUUUAGCAGAGAAUUCCCGUGUGUCUCUCUGAGGCCAGAGGCCCAAGUCGCCCCCUUGAGGAGGUGGAGCUCUUGGUUUACCCCAAAGAAGAGCCCCCUCCCCAGCCUCUCUGGGGAAGCUGAACAUGCUUUCCUGGAAGAUUAUGGAGACUCAAGGGGAAUCCCCCCAACUGCUCCCCAUGAAUAUCCAUGUCCAAAGAUGAUAUGCUCAUGUGGGGAAAAGCAAGGGCUCUCAUGGUGUGAGCGAGGUCACACCCUGUCCUGUACAAAAGCACAGGAGGGAAACGAAUAGAGAUUGGAACAGAGAGUAGAAGAAGAAUAAAUAUAAUCAAUGAAACCGAAUGUUGUUUCUUUGAAAAGAGCAGUACGAAUUCAUAAAAUUGUACCCAGAGAGACACAGAAAAUGAUAAAUCCUGCCUCAUAGCACAGGGUCCUAUAUCUAGUCACUUGUGAUGGAACAUGAUGGAGGAUAAUUUGGGAAAAGAAUACACACACACACACACACACACACACACACACACACACACACACUUCUGGGUCAGUUUGCUGUACAGCAGAAAUUGACAGAACAGUAUAAAUCAUUACAAUAGAAAAAAUAAAAA